GUUCUGGAGCCUGCAGUGCAGCUAGGUGUGCACGCGCGGAGGGUACCCGGGACGGGUAUGGCGAACUGGUGGCGCGCGUUUCCACGGGCGGCGCGGCGCUAUCCGUGGCCCACUAACGUGCUGCUCUACGCCGGGCUCUUCUCAGCCGGUGAUGCUCUGCAGCAGCGACUAAGGGGCGGCCCAGCCGAUUGGCGCCAGACGCGGCGAGUGGCCACUCUGGCCCUGACUUUCCACGGAAACUUCAACUACAUGUGGCUGCGCCUGUUGGAGCGCGCGCUGCCAGGCCGCGCGCCGCGCACAGUCCUGGCCAAGGUGCUAUGCGAUCAGACUGUCGGAGGGCCAGUAGCCCUCUCUGCCUUCUACGUCGGAAACAUCAAAGACCUGGUGGCCUGUUAUAGUCUCAGCUAAUGCCACGGCUAAGAAGGUAUGAGCAUUCUCCAGGGAAAGGAUGACAUAUUUUUGGACCUGAGGCAGAAAUUCUGGAAUACAUAUAAGAGGUAGGCCUUUCCCAACGCAUGCCUCUGCCACCUGCUGCGGCCCCCAGCGACCCCCCCGGGGGGGGCAGCCUGAGGUCAAAGUGCUCAAGUGGGCUGUGGAAAGAAGGAAUGGAGAAUCGUGCAGCUGCUGCCCCACGUUACUCCUUGUGUCCCGCCAUUUCAUCCAUUUCAUCCAUUUCAUCCAUUUCAUCCAUUUCAUCUGCUGCUUACCCUGUGCUGUUGGACACCGCCACCUGCUGGCUACUGUGACACUCAGGACUUUCACCACAUGAGUUACUGCUUCAGUUACUGCUUUAGCUGGCUCACAAGCAGACUUCUCCAUGAGCUGCUACCCUCCAUGGUUCACCACAUUGUUCUAGCUUUUGCCCCUUAGACAGGCCCUCAUCAACCACAGGGUUCCACUUUCCUGCUACCAGGCUGCAGCUACAAUCUCCACACAAACACCGGAUUGUUAGGUCUAUUCCUGUUGGCAAGGAGUACCGAGAUUUCCCAAAUAAAGGCUGGCCAGCUUUUCUGAGAUUAUGGGAAUUUCCUUAGCUGACGUACUGGAUAGGACCUCGAUCAUUGGGUGGAGUUUCCCUCAAAAGCGGUUCCUUGCUCUGGCUCCUGCAGCUGACCUGGGUAGGAACACUUUCUGGCAGCUCCAGGACCACUCAGACACCUGGCCUGGUUGAGUACUACCAUUACCAUUAAUUCCUCCUGGGACACCAGUGUGGAGUUAAUUGAUGACUUCCCCCAAAGAGCUAUUCAUGGUCUUCAAACGUGCCUCCAAAUACACUGUUAGGAUGUCUUUUGGAGAAUUUCAAAACUUUAAAAUUAACACCUCACCUGAGUUCAUCAAAAUUGAUACACCUAUACAACAAUAAGGUCUGGACCCAAUAUUCAUUAGAUAAUGGUUCAAAAUGGCCGCAUAAUAGCACUCCAAAUUCCUCAAUUUUUGGGAUCUUUACAAUUACUGCCAGCAGUCUGGUAAGUAGAAAGAAAUUCUUUAUGCCCAAACAUUCAUAUACCUCUCUGUGUUUUGCUUCCCAUGGCAUCCUGCUGAGGUAACCUGUGUCCCAGGUACUGGCUGGUCAGUCCAGCAGGCCUCCCCAUCUCUGUAAUACCCUGCAUGCAGCUUCCCGAUUAGCCAUUCCCAAACCAUGCUGUGCUCAGUGCCACAGGCUUAAAUCCACCCAGUCACAGUCUCACAUAUGGCACAGUUUUCUUAUUUCUUAUCUCUAUUUAUAAGCCCUGUCAAAGUUAUUUAAGAUUUUUCAUCCCUACCCUGUCUUGACAUAUGAUCCAUACCUCCUGAGAAAUGCUGGUGAGUUUGGGAGCAGGACAGUCUUAAAACCAGUGAUUUUUGAAAAACUACAAGAGGUCAUCCAGGAAGAAACAGGAAAACCCAUUCCAAUAUUUAGAACGCCUUACAAAGGCUUUAUUGUAAUACACUAACCUAGACCCUGAAAACUCAGAAGGUGAGCAACUUCUGAUGACCUAUUUCUUUUCCCAGAGUUGUCCUGACCUAAAAGACAAACUUAAAAAGCUAUAGAAACAGCCCCUAACUUCACAGGCAGAAGUUUUGGCACUGGCCUUUAAAGUGCCAUGGGAGAAAUGAGAAGGCUCGUAGACAAAAGUACCAUAUGCUGGCAAAGGCUAUCUGACCAGCCUCAGCCACUACCCAGGACUCCUGGUCUUCUAAGGCUAAGGGACCACCAGGCUCCUACUACAGAUGUGGUCAACAAGGUCAUUGGGCAGGGGCUUGCCCUAACUUCCACAAGCCAAAGGACUAUGUUCUAGAUGCCAUCAAGGGAGACACUGGGCUGUCGAUUGCCCUCGUGCUGCGUAGGACAGAGGGACAUCAUGCCCAGGUAACACUCUAGGGGAUCUCCUAGGCUUGGCUAUGGACGACUAAAGGAGCCUGAGUUCCUUGGACCUGACCACUGCCAUCACCAGCAAGGAGCCCUGGUAACCAUCAUGGUAUGUGAGUGGCCCAUCUCCUUCCUCUUGGACACUGGGGCCACCUACUCAGUCCUAACGGAGUUUUGGGGACCCACUUCUCUCUCCUGUUUCUCUGUCAUCGAGGUAGGGGGCAACUUUAACUUCCACUCCAAAUCCCACUACUUAGUUACAUUUUUAGGGGUACACCUCUCACUCAUUCCUUUUUGGUAGUGCCAACAUGCCCUGUCCCUUAUUGGGAGGUGAUCUUCAAGCUAAGUUGGAGCCUCUCUUUUGCUCCACCCAUUUCCCCAAACUCAAGCUCGUCUGCAGCCCUCUGCUCCCUCUAGCCAGCCAACCUACUAACAUGAGCAUGUUACUUCCUUUACCAGCUUCUCAGGUAGACCCCCAAGUCUGAGAGGUCCAGAACACCCCCACCCCCACCCCACCCUGUUGCUAAACAGUCUUUUCAAAUAGGAUCUGGAAACCACUUUCUCUAUCUGUCUUUUCGUCAUGACAAACUGUUUUAAGAUAUCUAGGACACAUUCUGUUGGACAAAUUCUUCCUUUUGCUCCACAAAAAGCUUACCUUAAAGAAUGUUCAUGUUGUUAACUCAUGUUAUCUUUUUUGUAAACUUAUAAGCUACAGGAAACCCACUCAGACCUACCUCUCAUGGACCAAAUAGACUCCACCCAGAUAAGUACGUCUGCCUAAAGUUCCCACUUAACUACCUAUUCCAAAGGGUGGGAUUCCUCUGGGUUUCAAAUGUACAUCUAAGAAAAAUUUUUUCUCCCAAAUGCGCUUAAUCUUAUUCGCUACCUAUAAUAAAUAUAUAUGUGUGUGUUUCAGCAUCUUGUCAAGUCUAGGUGCUAACUAGACCCAGGACAGCUCCAGAGAAGCCACCUCCAGAUGUUCUGGUCUCCUCUCACAGACACAGACACUUCUAUUGGACCUGUUCCUUCUGACCUAUCCUCAGAUGGUUCCACAGACCUUGGACAACAAGGAAACAGCCAGCUCUUAAGACUGGACAAACAUCCCAUACCCAUUUUUCUAGGUUCCAUAGAGACACAUCGUGAUCUCUGACUACUUCCUGCUCCUCUAAUUAUUUUUUUUUAAAUUAGACCAAAAUGGGGGAAUGUUGGUAUUCUGUCUAAGCUCCACCCUCACAGCUACCUGGGAACAGCCAGGUAUGCUCCACCCCACACCCCACAGUUGCCUGGCAAUAGCCAAUGUGCCUGACUAUAAAGGGGGCUGCUUGCCCCCUCUUCACUCUCUUCCCUCUCUCACUCCUCUCUUGCUUUUCCUUCUCUCAUGCCCUCUUUGUCCCUGUCCCUUCUCUCACCAUCCUUACCUCACUUCCCUCCACGUGCUCAUGGCCAGCCUUUCCUCUCUUCUACUCUUUUUCUCUCAUUAAACCUCUCCAUGUGGAA